rnacentral:rRNA from 1 species
UACGUAGGGGGCAAGCGUUGUCCGGAAUCAUUGGGCGUAAAGCGCGCGUAGGCGGCCCGGUAAGUCCGCUGUAAAAGUCCAGGGCUCAACCCUGGAAAGCCGGUGGAUACUGGCGAGCUAGAGUACGGUAGAGGAGAGUGGAAUUCCCGGUGUAGCAGUGAAAUGCGUAGAGAUCGGGAGGAACAUCAGUUGCGAAGGCGGCUCUCUGGACCAGUACUGACGCUGAGGCACAAAAGCGUGGGGAGCAAACAGG